AAUGCUUUGUUUCUCUGUGGAGCCGGAGUAACGCACGACUUUGGAUUGUUUUCCAUCAUCACUGAUCAUGGUAACCAGGAGAUGGUUAGAGGCGGUACAGCAGACAUUGAGAGGUACCCACCCCUGUAGUGUGAUCACGGUUGAGUUGAGUGGAAUAAUGAACCUCCAGAUAUCUAUGUACAUGCACACUUGUAUAAUUAAACUUUUUUUGCACUUGUCCUA